rnacentral:rRNA from 1 species
GACGAACGCUGGCGGCGUGCUUAACACAUGCAAGUCGAACGGAAAGGCCCUGCUUUUGUGGGGUGCUCGAGUGGCGAACGGGUGAGUAACACGUGAGUAACCUGCCCUUGACUUUGGGAUAACUUCAGGAAACUGGGGCUAAUACCGGAUAGGAGCUCCUGCUGCAUGGUGGGGGUUGGAAAGUUUUGGCGGUUGGGGAGGGACUCGCGGCUUAUCAGCUUGUUGGUGGGGUAGUGGCUUACCAAGGCUUUGACGGGUAGCCGGCCUGAGAGGGUGACCGGCCACAUUGGGACUGAGAUACGGCCCAGACUCCUACGGGAGGCAGCAGUGGGGAAUAUUGCACAAUGGGCGGAAGCCUGAUGCAGCAACGCCGCGUGCGGGAUGACGGCCUUCGGGUUGUAAACCGCUUUCGCCUGUGACGAAGCGUGAGUGACGGUAAUGGGUAAAGAAGCACCGGCUAACUACGUG